rnacentral:rRNA from 1 species
UACGUAGGUGGCAAGCGUUAUCCGGAUUUACUGGGUGUAAAGGGCGAGUAGGCGGGAUUGCAAGUCAGAUGUGAAAACUAUGGGCUCAACCGAUAGAGUGCAUUUGAAACUGCAGUUCUUGAGUGAUGGAGAGGCAAGCGGAAUUCCCGGUGUAGCGGUGGAAUGCGUAGAUAUCGGGAGGAACACCAGUGGCGAAGGCGGCCUGCUGGACAUUAACUGACGCUGAGGCGCGAAAGCGUGGGGAGCAAACAGG